rnacentral:rRNA from 1 species
ACAAGUACCGUGAGGGAAAGUUGCAAAGCACUUUGAAGAGAGAGUUAAAAAGGACGUGAAACCGAUGAGGUGGAAACGGACAGAACCGGCGUAUCUGGCCUGUAUUCAACUGGAGACCCAAGCACAUUGGGUAUGCCUUUUCCAGAUUGGACAGGCGAUCCAACUGUUUGGGGUCUACAGUGCAUUUGCAGGUGGAGUGCGCUGAGGUGGUCGGGUUAGCGGUGUGAUCUCGGGUUUGAGGCCAGCCCCUCGGGGUAUGGUACCCGGCUCGGUGGAGUGCUGUUUAGCCUGUUCAACUUGUAUGGAAAUGGUAUCGGGUCCGGCUGGUAUCCAGCUAACAACUGGUGGCGGUCGCAUGCGACACGUACUAGUGGUUGGUUGGGUCCUGGUCUGGCUCCCAUGUUUUCCAAUCCUCGGUGUAAAAACCGGUCAUCUGUCCGACCCGUCUUGAAACACGGACCAAGGAGUUUAGCGUGUGCGCGAGUCAUUGGGUGUUGGAAACCCAAAGGCGCAAUGAAAGUGAAGGUCUCUCUUGUGGAGCUGAUGUGUGACCCGGGUCACCGAGGUGGCCCGGAGCAACAUGGUCCCGUCCUGAUCGCUUGCGAUGGGGCGGAGACAGAGCGUACGCGCUGAGACCCGAAAGAUGGUGAACUAUUCCUGAGCAGGACGAAGCCAGAGGAAACUCUGGUGGAAGUCCGAAGCGAUUCUGACGUGCAAAUCGAUCGUCUGACUUGGGUAUAGGGGCGAAAGACUAAUCGAACCAUCUAGUAGCUGGUUCCUUCCGA